rnacentral:rRNA from 1 species
GGGGGGGGGGGGGGGGGGGGGGCGGGGGGGGGGGGGGGGGGGGGGGGGGGUAGGGGCUGGGUGUUGGGGGUGGCGAGUGGGGGCGAGGGGGGGGCAAACGCGGGAUGUGCUUUUUCUUGGGGGGUCCGGUAGGGAAACUUUCGCUCAUGCCGCAUGCGAACUACGUUUGAAAGCAUGCGAUCUUCGUACCUUUCCUGCUUUGAUGCUCCGAUGUUGGCUUAGCUAGUUGGCGGGGUAAGGGCCCACCAAGGCGACGAACCGUUGCUGGUCUGAGAGGAUGCUCAGCCACACUGGAACUGAGACACGGUCCAGACUCCUACGGUAGGCAGCAGUGGGGAAUAUUGGACAAUGGGCGCAAGCCUGAUCCAGCCAUACCGCGUGGGUGAAGAAGGCCUUCGGGUUGUAAAGCCCUUUUGUUGGGAAAGAAAAGCAGCAGGUUAAUACCCCGCUGUUCUGACGGUACCCAAAGAAUAAGCACCGGCUAACUUCGUG